GUAGGUGGCAAGCGUUGUCCGGAAUUAUUGGGCGUAAAGCGCGCGCAGGCGGUCCUUUAAGUCUGAUGUGAAAGCCCACGGCUCAACCGUGGAGGGUCGUUGGAAACUGGGGGACUUGAGUACAGAAGAGGAAAGCGGAAUUCCAAGUGUAGCGGUGAAAUGCGUAGAGAUUUGGAGGAACACCAGUGGCGAAGGCGGCUUUCUGGUCUGUAACUGACGCUGAGGCGCGAAAGCGUGGGGAGCAAACAGGAUUAGAUACCCUGGUAGUCCACGCCGUAAACGAUGAGUGCUAAGUGUUAGGGGGUUUCCCGCCCCCUUAGUGCUGCAGCUAACGCAUUAAGCACUCCGCCUGGGGAGUACGGCCCGCAAGGCUG
rnacentral:rRNA from 1 species